UAGGGAAUCUUCCGCAAUGGGCGAAAGCCUGACGGAGCAACGCCGCGUGAGUGAUGAAGGUCUUCGGAUCGUAAAACUCUGUCAUUAGGGAAGAACAAAUGUGUAAGUAACUAUGCACGUCUUGACGGUCCCUAAUCAGAAAGCCACGGCUAACUACGUGCCAGCAGCCGCGGUAAUACGUAGGUGGCAAGCGUUAUCCGGAAUUAUUGGGCGUAAAGCGCGCGUAGGCGGUUUUUUAAGUCUGAUGUGAAAGCCCACGGCUCAACCGUGGAGGGUCAUUGGAAACUGGAAAACUUGAGUGCAGAAGAGGAAAGUGGAAUUCCAUGUGUAGCGGUGAAAUGCGCAGAGAUAUGGAGGAACACCAGUGGCGAAGGCGACUUUCUGGUCUGUAACUGACGCUGAUGUGCGAAAGCGUGGGGAUCAAACAGG
rnacentral:rRNA from 1 species